CCAUAUUGCUUAUUCGUGAAUUGUUCGUGAAACAUGAUCGCCAGCCAGUGUGGACACUUCAGCAAAUAAGUUACAACGAAUUCGUCUGCGAACAACGAACAGCGUUGGUAAUAUAUCAAACUAAAUUCACAUUACUGUUCGCGAAUUAUUCUUAACAAUUCGUAAACUACGUUUCGAACACCGAAGGACACCAUUUUCGAGCGAGUUCGUCAAUUGUUUACGGAUGAAUACACACCUUCAAAGAAUCUUAUACGCAAAUUCAGAACGUAUUUGAACAUCAACAUUAUUUGCUGGCCAAUCGUUGAACGCUAUUGGCUGUUCGCAAGAAUAUCCACACUACGUAAUUUACAAACUUGUGAGCAGCGAUCGUACAGUCACAUACACGUUCACGAACGACUCUCAAAACCAAUGUAGACGUAGCAUCAAAACGUGUUACAUAGCAAUAUAGUCGGUUGCAUUAAAAUACACUACAUUUCUACUUCGAUGGAAGGAAAUACGCGACCAUACAACACGUAUAAAACACGCUCGUGUAUCCCUGGCCUAAGGGGUCGUCGCACACAGCGGGUUUCCGCGGUUUUUAAAGGGCAGCGCUUAUUACACAGAUUGGAUUAAAGGUCUGGAGUCUCAUGGACGGUGAGAGAGAGAGAAAGAAAGAAAAGCAGGAUAGGAGAAAGGGAGAGAAAGGAGGUAAAAUUGAAGGAGAACGUUACGUCGAGAAGAACUUGUUAUUAGAGGAACGUUGGAGAGUCGAAAGAGGGAAGAUGUGUGAUCCUGGUUGCAAGUUUAUGCUACGGAAUGCAUUCUAUCGAAUGGUUGGUAGAAAGAUGAUGAUCGGAGAUGGAAUUAGAGAUAAUUAUUACAGGUGAGGUUAUGGUCAGUCAUGGAAACAGGUGAAUCGUUAAUAGUUGAAUAUUACUUUUAUAAGAAUAGCCUUAUAAUCUAAUAAUAACAAAAAUUCGUUCGUUACUUAUUUAUAAUUCCAUACACAUCUUCAUUUUUAGUUCCAAUUUUUAAAAAGUGAAUAUUUGUCAAAAUAUUUAAGAGAAACACGAGUCAUAAACAAGAAUCUUUAUCGAUCGGAGAAGAGAUACGACAAAAACAAAAUGAUAAAAGCUUGACACAUUCAAAAAAUUUACAUGAAAAAAUAUUAUCAGGAAUAACUAAUAUUUAACCAAGAUCUGUAUGCAUGCAUCCGCGUUACGAUUGAAAUUUUCAUUCACGAUUCGAUCCAGCAAAAUAUCCUUCUCUCCCGUCUCUGUUCCCCAUUCACAAAAAUCCCUUCGAUCCAUCCAUUCCUCUCUUGGUCCCCGAAUUUCAUUAAAUCCACCCAAUUGGGCCAUAUUUAUCGAACGAUCGCGAUAAUUCUCAUUUUCUACCUUGUUUGCCUCAUCUUGCAAAACGAAAGAGGGAACUUUACCCGAUAUCCCUCUCGUGUCAUCCUUCUCGGGUCCAGGGGAGGGGGGAUCGAGAAACGGUUGGCCCGUGUUUACAGUUGACUCGUAUAAGCCCUCGUUUGCCAAUGUUGCACCGCGAAACGAAUGAAUGUGUCGGCGUCCGAAGCGACGACGCAAUAGGAACCGCCCGAGGCGUGUCGGUGCACCCUUGCAAAAGGCUCUCAAUCGCAAGAAUGCAAAGGCCAACCGGUCCCCGCUCGAUCAGAAUUUUCGGCCGUGCCCGUGCCCGUGCAAACCUCGCCUUUAAAAUAGUCUACUUUAUUGUCGGACGCGUGAGAAAAUCCGACUUUUACGAGUCGAUGAUGCGCCAGUCGAUCUUGCCUCCUUUAAUAUCGCGUUGCGUGAAAAUUGAUCGGUGCUGCCACGUUUGCACGGGUUUUUGGGGAAUGAAGUUGUUUAAGAUACGUCGAGUAAAGAAGAGAGAGAGAGAGAAAGAGAUUGAGCUUAAUCUUCAUUUGUAAUUCCAGAUAGAAAUUGAGAUUGGGGAGAUCUUGAUGGUUUCAAGUGGAAUUAUUUAGAAUACAUGGAAUAAUAUAAAUUGGGAAUAUUGGGAUUUGGGAAUUGAUUUGAUAAUGCCAAGUUUGUACAGAUUUGUUUGAAAUGAAGUUAUUUUUUUCUCUUAAUAGAUUUUCAUGGAUCAAAGAAACAAUUGAACUUAAUUUUCAUUUGUCACUUGGGAGAAUAUUCUAAAAAGCUAAUGACUUUCUCGAAUAUUCCCAAUAAAUAUUUUAUUUAAAGAUUGAGCUUAAUCUUCAUUUGUAAUUCCACGUUUCCAGAUGGAAAUUGAGAUUUGGAAGGUUCUUGAUGGUUUCAAGUGGAAUUAUUUAGAAUACAUGGAAUAAUAUAAAUUGGAUUUGGGAAUUGAUUUGAUAAUGCCAAGUUUGUACAGAUUUGUUUAAAAUGAAGUUAUUUCUUUUUAAUAGAUUUUCAUGGAUCAAAGAAACAAUUGAACUUAAUUUUCAUUUGUCACUUAGGAGAAUAUUCUAAAAAGCUAACGACUUUCUUUUUUUUCUUAAAUCAAUAAUUCUCGGCAUCAAUCUCGAAUAUUCCCCAAUAAAUAUUUUAUUUAAAGAUUGAGCUUAAUCUUCAUUUGUAAUUCCACGUUUUCAGAUGGAAAUUGAGAUUUGGAAGGUUCUUGAUGGUUUCAAGUGGAAUUAUUUAGAAUACAUGGAAUAAUAUAAAUUGGAUUUGGGAAUUGAUUUGAUAAUGCCGAGUUUGUAUGGAUUUGUUUGAAAUGAAGUUAUUUCUUUUUAAUAGAUUUUCAUGGAUCAAAGAAACAAUUGAACUUAAUUUUCAUUUGUCACUUAGGAGAAUAUUCUAAAAAGCUAACGACUUUCUUUUUUUUCUUAAAUCAACAAUUCUCAGCAUCAAUCUCGAAUAAAUCCCCAAUAAAUAUUUUAUUUCCACUCGAAUAAUAAUCGACAGCUCUAAACAACAUCGAUCGGUCUUAAGCGUAAUAAAGGAAACAAAAACGAGUGUACAAAAGCUUAAGAAUAAUCGAGGGUGGCGGAAGAGGAGAUUCAAGAAUUCGCAUAAAUUUGUCCGCAUUCUGCGCGCGGUCCUCUGGGCAGCGCGAGGCAAUAUUUUUCCGGGGCGAAAGGUGGUGGAGGGAAAAAAAAAAAAAAAUGAAGAAAAACGAAGGACUGAAACGACGACGAGUCGGAAACGUCGAGAUAUAUAUUUCGCCCCCGGAUCUCAAUAAAGCAACGGCCAAUGCGAUUCUUUCUCCUUUUUUUUUUUUCCUUUCCACCUUUUCCUCUCCCUUCCUCUUUCAUCUUCCUUCUCUCUUUUUUUUCCUUCGCUCUCUCUCUCUCUCUCUCUCUCUCUCUCUCUCUCUCCUCUCGAAAAGUAAUCGGUAAUCCCUGCAAGAGGAGGGCACUAACGAGAAUUAAUACCGAGCGGAGUGUUUGUUUUGUGACUCGGCAGCCGGGCUUUUAAAGAUCCGAGUCGCACAUGGGAAUCAGUUCGCGAAGCCACGUCUGAAUAAAUUAAAUCCUUACCAGGAAUUCACUAACGACCUGUACCUCUCUCUCUCUCCCCGGCUACACCACACAUCUCUUAAUGCAUGUUCUAUGGGCCUCCUCCUCCUCCCCCUCGGAUUUUUAUUUUACGCGUAUUCUUUAUUCAUUUUUUUUUCUCUCUCUCUCUCUCUCUCCUUCUUUUUCUGUUUUUUUUUUCUUCUUUUCCAGAUCGGAAGGACUGUUUUGUCUCGGCGCGUUACACACAAUAAGGAGGGAACGGAGCGCACAGGAGUGAAAUUGUUUUUUGCUAGUCAUGACUUCUAAUAAGGAACAAAAGCGGCCCUUUACCUUGCACGGCAUUGAUAUUUGAAUUUUUUGAUCGAUCGCCCUCCUCCCCCCUUCCCUUCCCCGCUGCCAUGAAUUAAUCGUGAAUCGAUUGUUGAUUCUUUUUCGCAUUUCUGUUUUCCAUCCGCGAAAAUAGAAAUAUCUAACGAAUUUUUUUAAUAAAAAUUACGAUUAUACGCCUUCCUCGUCCAAUUUUUAUCCCCUGAUAUGAUAUUCUUCUUGAAUCGAGAAGAGAAAUUAUUUAAGAAAAGAUAAAUUUUAAAUCCGUUUGUUCUCGAAUAUAUCUCGAAUCGUACAAUUUUUCAAUUAGAAUUUAUAAAUUGGCGCGCAAGUCUCAUUUUGUCAUUGCACUCCACCUGGUAUCGUCAAUGACGAGUGUGCAAAGCGCGUUCACGCAACAAUCCCUCUUUCCGUUAAAGAGUUAAAUUGUAAAUUUAAAAAUUGAAAAUUAAAAUUUUUCUAAUACUAAUAUACAAUUAAAAUUAUUAUAGUUUAAAAUAUAAAACAUUAGAUUGCAAAUUUAAAGAUUAAUUUUUGAUUAUAAUAAUUUAGAUGAAGUUUAAUACAAGAAAAAAUAUAGAUACAUUAAAUGAUAGUAAUAUAAGUGCAAAAUAGCUAUGAUAUAUAUAUAUUUAUUAUCUUUGUCAUUAAGAAAAUUAUUUUUAUAAAAAUUUAUUUUUAAGAAUACAUAUUUUAAAAUUCCACUCCAAACCUGGAAUGUUUGUUCGCGGCGAAAGUUCCCCCUUCCCCCCUUAAUUUCGGCCCAGACUUCUUCCCUUCGAUUCGAUCUCCUAGCGAGAGGAGAUUUUCUUGGCAAAGAAAAUCUUUCCAUUCCGUUCCUUGUUGAAUUUAUUUGCGUCAGAGGGAGAAGAAAUUUUUUCAAGCUGCAUGGACGAUUCACUUCGACAAAGGAUAACGUAAAAACGUUAGAUAAGAAAGGAAGGAUGCGUCGAUAGAAAUUUAUUUGCGUCAGAGGGAGAAGAAAUUUUUUCAAGUUGGAAUUCGAUAGACGAUUCACUUUGACGGAGGAUAACGUAAAAACGUAUCACGUUAGAUAAGAAAGGAAGGAGAGAUUAUGGAGGAUAGAAAUUUUAGGAUGGAUUAACGAGGGAUACCGUUAAUGCACGAAGGUAUAACUGUGCGCCAUUUUGGAGCGAGCCACUUAUUUAUAUGACAGGUGAUCAGCUCGGCGAGAAGCAACAUUGGCGAUGUUAUGCCAUGUGAACCGCGUUCCUUUCGAACGUACGGUAUGAAAAAGCGUUCCUUUCGUUCGCGCGAUUAUAUUCCCUCGAUAAUAUAUUUAAAUCGAAAAUCAUCGCACCUUUCUUUGCUACAAAUUUAACAACGAUACAAAGUAAUCAUCGUUCCUUUUGCAGACGAUAAAAGAUAAACGUUAUUAAAUUAUAAAUCGAGCGAAGAUCAAUAUACACAAGGGAUAUGAAUAUUUUUAAUAUCGAUUCGAGAAAAAGAAAUGUCACGAAUCUCUCGACGCGCUUACGCGUAAACAAAAGAAUGGAUUAUGAAACGUUAACGCUGAACAAUAAACGGCGAAUCAAAAGGAAAAGAAAAAUAUAUUACCCGGGAUAAAAAUCAUCCUUCCUUCUUAUCGAAUUAAGAGAAAGGGAAAAAAGGAAGAGAGAAAUCGUCCGCCCACUCGCAAUUCCCAUUACAAUUUCUUAAUGACGCGUAUUCAUACGAAAGCAGACUCACUGUCUCUGGACCGGGCGCAGACGGUGAUAAUUAUCACCGUGAGAAACGUCAUGUAUCACCUAAGGCGAGCCACCUUGCGAGAGAUGGUGCCGAUGCUGAUGUUGGCCUGAUGGCGGUGGUUGGUUGGGCUGUUUUCAAAAGGGCCUCCUCCAUCCUCGCGAGGAACAAGGAUAAAGAGAGAGAGAGAGAGAGGGAGAGAGGGAACGGUUGGAUUUCGACGAAGGAAGGCACGAGGAGGAAUUUGAUUUACGCAUCGGUUCGUUCGAGUGGAUGUGUAUUGUGCGAGAAAACAUUGUGAUGCAUUGUGGGAUGACUGUCGGGGGGGAGGAUAUAUAAGGUCUUAAUUACCGCGUGUGCCAUAUUGACGCGCCUUGUAUCCUGGUAUGACCGGCCGUUUUCAACGAAUUGCGAAAAGUCACCGGCGGUGAAUGGUCAAACAAUGAGGUUGCGGAAAGUUUUUGAACCAACCACCCGUUGAAAAGAUGAUUGGUUAAAAUUUCGUGUUAAAGUUGAAAUGUGGCUUUAUGUUACGAUCGUUUAAAAUUUUCUUUAAAUUUUAGUAUGAUUCGGGAUGAAGAUGGUUUUUUAUAAAAUAUUUCAAUGAUCGUUUCCUUUGUAAUUGCAAAGUAUUAAUUGUGGAAUUAGAAUUGGAUGCAAGGAUGACAUGGAAGGAAUUGAAAUGAUUUUUAGAGAAUAUAUUUUAUGUGAUUAUAUA